GUAGCUGUCAAGUACGCAGACGAGGAAUCUUUCCUCAGGCUUAUAUCUAGUUCCCCUGUUCUUAAAAAUUUGCUUGUGGGGAGUUUUGAGGACGACAAUGUAGAGACUUUUACCAUUAAUGUGCCUUCCCUUCAGAGUUUAACCAUUUGGAAAUAUGAUGACAAUUACAGGCUGUUUGUGGUACAUUCUCUUUCUUUGAAAGAGUUGGAUAUUGAAAAUAACUAUGGUGAAGUUAAAUUGAUUGGUGGUGAUAUGCCCGACUUGUCAAGGCCAGUCUUAAGACUUUUCACAGCAAAGGGAAUGUUUUGAAGUCUCUUACCUCUGUCAAACGUCUUUCUCUAUCACACUUUGGUUCUAAGGCCCAGUGUCUUAUUGGUACCAUUUUCUCUCAGCUUGUGUGUUUGGAGUUCCGGGGAUUUUGUAACAACUGGUGGGAUUUGCUUGUAAAUAUGCUCCAACAUUCCCCUAGACUAGAGAUUCUCAAGUUUGAAGAUGAUGGAGAGACCGAGUUGGAAGGUGAGGAAAUUGAAAAUGGUUGCUGGAUUCAGCCGAGUUGUGCUCCUGAAUGUUUGUACCAUCUCAAAACCUUUGAGUGGAGAGACUAUGAAGGAAAACCAAUACAGAAAGAAGUGGCUGUUUAUAUUCUGAAGAACGCAAGUCGAUUAGUUACCGCAAAUCUCCGCUAUGGCCCAGCGUUUAAGGAAUUAGAAUAUGCAACCAGGGGUUCAAGAGCAUGUGAGCUUACCCAUGUGCUGAAGAGAAAAAUUAGUGUUGAAACUGUCCAGUAACUAGUUGAAUGUGGGCUUAUAUCAGAAACCAUUAUAGCUUCUUCUCCUUGCUUAUCUUUAUAACUUGUGAGUGGUUUGUGAACCUAACCAGCAUUAACAAUUGAAA